GACUACCUGUUUCUUUCAUUCCAUCUGUACCCCAAAAUGAAAACUGUUGGUUGACUACACACUCUACAAAUUCUCUACCAGCCGUGAUUGGAUGACAGCCUGCUAAACGCCACUUCAAUCAUCAAUCAGCAAAACCCCCACAGCUGUUAUUUCUGGUAGAAGUCUGUUGACUUCAUCUCGAAGUGUUCACUUUUUCUGUAUCUUCCAUGGCAGUACAGGAGCAUGCUUUGAGCACCGCAGCAACAGAGGCCAGAUCUACCACACCAGGCAAGAUCCCAGGUGCAGGCUAUGCAAAGAGGCCCCAGAAACAAUCCAUCAUCUCACAGCAGGGUGUAAGAUACUGGCAGGAAAUGAAUACAAGGAUCAUCAUAACCAAGUGGCUCGUAUAUUGUGCAGAAUACAAACUGGAGUCCCCCAGGUCAAAAUGGGAGCUGCCUCCCAAGAUGGUGGAUAAAAGAGCACAUGGGGCACUAACCUCCAGAUAUGUGGAGAAACAUCAGAGAUCUCAGUCCAGAAAUUCACAGUUCUAGGGACAGCAGAGAUACUGCGAAGAACUCUCAAGCUCCCAGGCCUUUGGUAGAGGACAUAUUUUGGUAGUAUGUAUUUUGUUUAUUAGGCAAGAAACCAACCUUUUUCUUAGUUGUUGCCAACAGUUAGGAAAUAAUCCUGAAAUGUGUUAAAAACUUAGAUAUUGAUAAUUCACACUGUUCCUUUCUUUUCAUUAAGCUGUUGUUGGCUUUCCUCUUCACCAAUCCCCUGGCAGUCUUCCAGGUAACAGCUAUCAGAUUCUUAUUUCCACCACAUUUACUGUAAGCAGGGGGGGGGGGAUUUACCCUUAGGCAUUACUAGACAGUUGCCUAGGGCCCCAAGUCAACUGUAACCCCAUCCCCCCCUCAUAAAAAGGUUGCUGAUGAUUGUGGCAACACUUUGGUUUUCAUUAAACUUCAUAAAGCACUCCAAAUAGACAGAGUGCUGAACAAAAAAAAAAA